ACGAACGUAACCUUACCGUAGGUUCGUUCGACACUCCGAUGUCUUAUUUCUAGAGAUAGAAGUUACUUCGGUACAUCGGUGACAGGUGGUGCAUGGUUGUCGUCAGCUCGUGUCGUGAGAUGUUGGGUUAAGUCCCGCAACGAGCGCAACCCCUAUUGUUAGUUGCCAUCAUUCAGUUGGGCACUCUAGCGAGACUGCCGGUAAUAACCGGAGGAAGUGGGGAUGACGUCAAAUCAUCAUGCCCCUUAUGACCUGGGCUACACACGUGCUACAAUGGUUGGUACAACGAGUUGCGAGUCGGUGACGGCGAGCUAAUCUCUUAAAGCCAAUCUCAGUUCGGAUUGUAGGCUGCAACUCGCCUACAUGAAGUCGGAAUCGCUAGUAAUCGCGGAUCAGCACGCCGCGGUGAAUACGUUCCCGGGCCUU
rnacentral:rRNA from 1 species